GGCUGAACUUUUCUCCCGAUAUCGGAGCGAAAGUUCAACGGACGCUGCGGCUUCCGAGGGGCCCGGCGCGGCGGCUGCGACUGCGGCGAGUGGUUAGUUCAUUUCGUUGCGCGAGUUGGGUUUCGGUGCGGGCAUCGCCUCGCCUCGACCCGAACUCGCGGCCCUGCGUAGCGCACUGCAGUUCUCGCGACCGCCCGAUUCCCGAUUACCCAACGAUUCCCAUUUCACGGACUUCCCGUCGCGGAAGUGCCGCCUACCGCGCCCCGGGCACGGCCCCGCACGAUAGCCCUAUGAGCUUCGCGUUGAGGCCGUUUCACCAGACCAGAGACGAUAGAUUUUACAGAUAUCACACUAUUCGCCUGUGCUACCCAAGAGAGGAAUGGAGUCGCCAAAAAUGAAGCAUGAGAAAAUGGACCAAAAGCGCUGUCUCCACUCGUCGAAAUGGGGUUGAAAACGGGAUUGUUGGGACUUCGAUGCACCUGGCCUUUUCAGCUUCUGAAUUUUUAUGCCUUGAUUAGCAAUUUAGUACCUAUGUGUUCUUGAUCCUUUCUUCCUGAAGGACCACUUUGUAAAGUGAUGAUGGAGUCUUCUUUCCAAAUCAGCUUUUUGUACUCCUCGCAUUCUGAAAGCAAUUAACGCAUUCCUAUGGUUGAUCCAGAGAGUAAGCACGUAUGAAUGCUGUUUCCUUAAAAAUAUAUUUGGACUGCGUUAAGCAGAAAGGAACCAAGGCACAUCAUCUAUUGCCAAAUUUAACAUGGCAAUAUUAUUUUUUUACAUGAGUACGUUUGUGCGGAUUCCUUCCAAAUUUGACUACGAUUAAUUGAUUAACUACGCAGAAAAUUCACUGAAAUUUGUCGGAAAAUCCGCACAACCGUUUUCAGGUAAAAAAUUAAAUCGCCCAAUUAAAUUUGGCAUUAGCUGAUGCGGCUUGGUUCUUUUCUGCUAAACGCAGUCCAUUUAAAAGAGAGAGCAAGGCAGAGAGAUGUGCUUACUAGCAACAGCUGUGGAAUACUCUCCAACAGUUGGUACAGGUGUAACGGCCGGUCGUCUUGUAGAGGUGGCCUGAGCAUUCAGGGGUGUAACACUGUUCCAGUCUGCUAUUUCGUAUGGUGGACAGCAAACCACCGGAGCAGACCCCUUGAAGCCACAUCUGCGGUGGACAGGAGGGGUUUUCCUCUGCUUGACCAACGUCAGCGCCGCAGGACAAUUGUUUAAAACUUUGCAGAACCAUGCUGGAUUCUCUGUUGUUGGUGCUAAACACUGCUGACCUAAAAUCAUUAAAAUUAUAAAUUUAACAGCAAAAAAAAGAAGAAGAAAAAAAAAUAAAAAAA